GGGAUUGCGGCGACGUGGGCGGUUCCCUGCCCACGACGUUGUGAGAAGUCCACUGAACCUUAUCAUUUAGAGGAAGGAGAAGUCGUAACAAGGUUUCCGUAGGUGAACCUGCGGAAGGAUCAUUG
rnacentral:rRNA from 1 species